GUCGUGAGAGGUGAACCGAAAGCUACCGCUUGCGAUUAUAUCGCGCUUCGAGGAUCAGGAUCGUAAUCGAACCCCCUUUUUUGCGCGCUCGCGGAAAAUAUUUAGUGCGCUUUUUACUGGACUUAGUGCGAUUAAAUGGAUUGGAACUUGUCAUAGUUUUUCUUUUCUGGAAGUCCCUUAUAAUGAUUUUGGCAAUCCUCGGGAAGGAAUUUUAUUAUUAACAGAAUCAUGAAACCUUCGAAAGAAGUACGAAGAAAGCACAGCAUUAUUCUACGAGUAGCAUAUUACGUCAUAAUUUGGACCGUGUAUAUAAUUUUGGUCACAUCUGCGAAGAGGCUGCCCCCUAAUGGCACUUGGAUGUAAGUAUUUUCAAUUUUUAUGGCGCU